UACAGAGGGUGCAAGCGUUGUUCGGAAUCAUUGGGCGUAAAGCGCACGUAGGCGGCUUGUUAAGUCGGAUGUGAAAUCCCCGGGCUCAACCUGGGAACUGCAUUUGUGACUGUAGAGCUGGAGUGCGGCAGAGGGGGGAUGGAAUUCCGCGUGUAGCAGUGGAAAUGCGUAGAUAUGCGGAGGAACACCGAUGGCGAAGGCAAUCCCCUGGGCCUGCACUGACGCUCAUGCACGAA
rnacentral:rRNA from 1 species